rnacentral:lncRNA from 1 species
UGCAGUGAAGUUACCAGUAUAGCACCAAAAAUCUGUAUAAGGCUUUUCCAUUUGUUUUUGUUUGUUCUAAGACCAUGCUAUGGGAAAGCACUUGCCACAAUCCUUUAAUUUUGAGUCUUUAUUGUUUGCCUCUAGGUGGAACGGAUUAUCUUUUGUGUCUUCCUAGAAGUUGACUUCAAAAUCUACAAAAAGAAAAUGAGUGAGUUUUUCCCUAUGGAUGAUAAUAAUGAAGAAGAAGAUGCUGACAUGAAAGAAGAAUCAGAAGGGCUAGAGCCAAAAGGUCUCUCUCCACCCCAUAAGAAGAGCAAAGCAAAGAAGCCAGAAUGUUCAAAAGACUCUAGUGAAGGGGAAGAGAAUGAUUCAACAAAGAAUGAAAUCAAAAUCAAGACAGAAUCUCAGAGCUCAUAUAUGGAAACAGAAGAGCCUUCAUCAAACCAAGAAGAUGCCACAAUUGUGGAGCAACCAGAAGUGAUUCCACUGACAGAUGACCAAGACGAAAAAGAAGGUGCAAACGCUCAAGGGGAGGACACACCUACAGCUUCUGUGAAAAGCCAGAGCUCUAGUGACACUGAACCUGCUACAGGUCCUGAUGUUGAAAUGAAUAGUCAGGUUGACAGUGUAAAUGACCCAACAGAGAGUCAGCAAGAAGAUCACCAAUUAAGAAGCCCCUGUGGGGCACAAGGUGAAGCAAAGGAACACAGAAAUGAAACUCAAUGACAGUCCUCAGCCCGGCAAGGCCUCCCUUGUCCUUGGGAAGUUGGGGGGAGAUGAGAGCAGCAGCGCUGUGCAGGAGGGUGGGGAUGGGGGGGGGGGAGUCCCUCAGAGGAAGGAUGGGGAUUUGCUCUGAUUUCUCCACCUGCAUUUUGUUCUGUUUACCUGGCCAAAAUGAAAGAAAAAAAGAAGUUUCCUUAUCUUGGUGGGAGGACCCAUGCUAACACAUCUUUCAGGCACUGUCCCUAUCACUUAGGCUUUCUCUCAAACUUUGCCCCAGGGACCCAGGGGCAAGGUUUAACACUCACUUGUGUCUCCUGCCCUGUCUGCCUUCGUUACUUCACAAAGCUGGCCCUACAGUGCUUUCUUCAAAGAAAGUGGGAAGAUGACUGACAAGGUACAGGCCAAAUUUCAGCAAUCACGGAGCCCAGUGUCAGUAGAACUCACAGGUAAAGAAGGAAGGACAGAAAAUGGGAAAAACUCUCAGAAUCCACUUUGAAAAGGUUUGAAUGAUGAGCUUCAAAUGUGUUUUUCAGGGUUGCCAAGAUACAGUUUGUCCUGUGUAGCUAGUGAGGACUGAAGAAAGAGGCUUUAAUUCAGAGCACUGCACAGAGGUAUGAUAAGGAAUCUAGGUCCUGUGUGGCCACUGGGGUCCCUUCCUUCAUGGUCAGGUGGCACACCAUGUUGACUUUCAGCAGAGUUUAGUUGGUUUGUGACUCUUAACAUGUGCUUCAGCAUGGAGCCUGCCAGUGAUAUGUAUGAGGGAUGACUGAAAAACAUAUUUAAAUUUUUUAAAUUACACUAAAAGACACGCUGUUAAAAAUUCCACUCCAAAUACUCCCUCUCAUUUAUCUCAUCAUUCUUGCCCUUCUCUGCAGCAGUUCUGGACAUCCUUUUUCCUGUCUUUAUGGGGUAUGAUCAAAAACUCAGUGAAUGAUGCUGAGCACCAUCCAAUAGAAAAGCAGGCUGGUAAAAACAUUAGAGUGUGUCGUCAUCCACAGUAUUCAGCAGCUCUGGCAUGAUUGAACUAUGGCUCUUCCUCAAUGUCAAAAUGACCUCAAAACGGGGAGGAUUUUGAAGGAGAUUAAUGGGGGCUGGGGAAGUAGCUCACUGGUGCUGCACCUGCCUGGCAAGUGCAAAGUCCUGAGUUCGAUCCCCAGUACCAAAAAAAAGAAAGGGACUAAUGGUGAUGUGUCUUUUACUAUAAAUUUUUAAAAACUAAGCAUAUUUUUCAAUCAGAAUAGUAACAAUGGUAAAGCUAGGUGUUGUCAAGAACUAAGUGGGGUUGCUGCAUUUAGGACUCAAACAUAUGCCUAUUUUGAAAUGUCCACUUGAAAUCUCUAUGUUUUUCACAAAAUAAGAGCCCAUGUUUUACUCAAGGAUCCAUAGCCACUAAGCAGAAUCCCAUGGGAAGUAAGAAGUAAUCAGAGCAUUUACUUGCAGUGCCAGCUCUCUGGUAUGCAUUGUGUGAUGUUUGUUCACACCCCGUUCCAGGCUGGCUGAUGUGACAGCUGGUCCCUCACCCAGAAAACCACUGAAUAUGGCCCAACAGGGGAGCAGCAUACUAACACCUGAAGAUGCCCGUGGCAUGGUGGGCACAAGCAGUGAUGACCAGGAGUCAUCAUAAGCAUUUAUCCCAGGGCCAACAGAAGACAAGAUGCUUGGUUCCAAGCCCAUUCCCUUGUUUUCUGUGGAAACAUUUACUGCAUAUUUUCUUAAAUCCCUCUUCCUUCUUAUUUAGGACUUUAAUAGAAGAGUAGUCAAUCAAUUUGAGUAUUUCUAAAAUGACAGAUGUCUGUUUCCUAAAGAUCCCUGCUCUUUCUUCUUUGGAAAAGGCAUCUUUUUGUCUUCUGAUGACUUGUUCUGGCCUUUCUCAAGUUGUUGCCCCUCCUGGCUUAGUUGGUAUACUGGAAUAAUUAGCAAAUUUAUAACUCUGGAUAUGUCAUAUAUUUUAGUAUCUUAUUUUUUAAAGUUGUUCAUCAACACAGCAGUAAUGAUAUUGAUUUUUGGAAUAUGGCCGGUUUUUCUUCCUGUCAUUAUUCUAUAGUUUGAAGCACAUAUGUCUUUUAUUGACAUUUGACAUUGCUUUCUAGAAAAGCAAAGACAAGGCUUAUUUUGAACCAUGUAAGAAACGAUGCCAUCCAAAUAUUGACAGUUUCUAUAUUUCAUGCCGUUUUAUAACUCAGCUGAAAGUCAUCAUUCUUGUGAAGUGGCUGACAAGUGCAAUCUGCUAGGAACUUGUUUUCCAGUGACUCCCAGUGUUAGUGCUACUCAGGCUCCAUAAUGAAUUAUACUUGAAAACAACAAGGAGCGAAGAGGGACAGAGGUUUUUUAAUGGACUAAGAUGAAACAGACCCAAUAUUCCUGCUAGUAACAGCCAGGAUUAGAGUUAUUCCAAUCCAGGCAUUUUCCCUGUCAUCAAUGACAGCCCUUUUAGUCAUUCUUUUAAAUGUGGGUGGGUUAGAAAUGAGUAAGUUCAUGGUCUGAAAGUUGUAGAAAAGUAAUCUCUGUAUCCAAAAAACUAAGACAUCGGAGCAUAAAUAUUAUCAUCCCCAUUCCUGAAUUUGUUUAAACUAUGUUAUGAUUAGAUUGCAUUUUCAUUUCGGUUUUAUGUUUUUUGGUUGCUCUUUGGCUGUAUGAUUUUAUUCUUUAAAAUAAAUAAUAGUUAAUUUCUAUUCCAAUAGUGAAAUACAAAAAUCUAGCUAGUGGCCAGAUGGAAGACAUCUCAACACAGGAAGCCUUCAUUUGCUGGGCUUGUCAUUGCACAGGCUAUACAAUGGAAUAAAUUUAAAAAGCCGAUUGAUUCUCCUGCACAUGGAUUCUGGAUGUCAGUUUCCAACUCUACUUCAGUCAGGCUAUGUGGGUUACAGGAGGGAGGGAGGGAGGAAAAUAGCCCUGUAUGAGUCAUGUUUGCAUACAGAGGAUCGAAGUGGGCCUUCAACAUAACAGUCCUAAUUAAAAAGGUAGUCACUUUGGGAGAGACAAAGGGGCUAUUCCUCUAGCUGCUCACUAUUCAGAUGAUAGACAAGUCUUCUUUCAUAAAAGCUUACUAAAAGGCACCCAAAACACUGUCUGUGAUAUUGGGUCACAUAUUAAUCACCACAGCUAAUUGUAAAUCUUUCUAUGAAACACUGAAAAGCCUCUUUGUGAAUUAAUACAGUUCUGCUUAAUGCAUUUGAUUUGAAAAGACAUUUCUCUGUAUGUGGUGCAUGUCAGCUGUGCUUUGAAAAAUAACAAAGUUAGCAGAAUAUGUCCGAUAUAUUUUCUUGGGGGAAUAGGAUUUUUAUCAUAUGAUUCAUUAAGGAUUUGCCUUACCCUAACAUUUGUGAUAUAAAGGAAAAUCAGAAUAAAAGUAAUUUUCUUGAUCAAGAUAUGUUUUUACUUAAUGCAAAUAAAUGUAGUCUGUUGCUUGUAAGGGGAAAAAUGUCUUCUGGUAUAAUCUGCUAAAUAGGAUAAUAUGUGCCUCUUUUGUUAAACCAGCCUGAAAAUGCUGGACUGCUUCUAAAUCUCUGUUUCUUUUCAUCUGUGCCACACACUAAAACACUUAAACAACUGUUGCCUUCAUAAUAUAUUUGUUAGAGCAGAGUGCAAAUAAAAUUUGAGAGGAUAACAUGGAAUUAUCUGUUUCAUGAAAUUUAUUCUUUAGCCAUAUGUAUUUAAUUCCUCAAAAUGUUCAUUUACUAUUUGGUUGUAAAUAUGUGUAGUAUUUAAAAUUGUCUCCAAGUCAACUUUCACCUAUUAAUACUUUAUCCUUAUUGAGUCAGUGUUCUAAAGGUGUUUUUCAAACUUUUGAAACUAUACUAGAUAAUUAACUGCCUUACCUACAGCUCUGAGAAGCAGGCAUUAAGUUGUUGAGAUAAAGCCAAUGGUUUCUCAAUUUUGGGAGCCACCAUCCAAUGCUGGAAUUCUUCUUGAGCAUCUUCUAGGAGUUGUCUCUAUGCUGGCCAUGUGAUCAUGGCGGACAUGAUCCUCCAAAGUCUACUGUCAACAGAAUGUUGAUAGACUCAUACAGUUGUUAAAAGUGUAGCAGUGAACCUCCAAAACUCAUUAUGAAAAGAUUCAACAUUCUCUUGAAAAUGCAAAUACAUAUUUCAUCAAAUUUAAUUCCCUUUUUCUCCUACUGAAUAGAUGCUAUUAGGGUUAUUUUUCUAGAAGGCAAUCAAGUCACCCUUUUAUCAAGCAAAACCAGAGAUGUAACUAUUUAAGGAGAAUAAGAUUUUCUAAACUGCCACACCAGAGGAGCAUUUUCCUGGUAGUAAACGAGUCUGAUGAGAAAAAAAUAUAUAAAUGGGAGAGCUACAUGCUGCAAUGGGCAACCUC